rnacentral:rRNA from 1 species
GUGGUUUAAUUCGAAGCAACGCGAAGAACCUUACCUAAGCUUGACAUCCCAAUGACAUCUCCUUAAUCGGAGAGUUCCCUUCGGGGACAUUGGUGACAGGUGGUGCAUGGUUGUCGUCAGCUCGUGUCGUGAGAUGUUGGGUUAAGUCCCGCAACGAGCGCAACCCUUGUCUUUAGUUGCCAUCAUUAAGUUGGGCACUCUAGAGAGACUGCCAGGGAUAACCUGGAGGAAGGUGGGGAUGACGUCAAAUCAUCAUGCCCCUUAUGCUUAGGGCUACACACGUGCUACAAUGGGUAGUACAGAGGGUUGCCAAGCCGUAAGGUGGAGCUAAUCCCUUAAAGCUACUCUCAGUUCGGAUUGUAGGCUGAAACUCGCCUACAUGAAGCUGGAGUUACUAGUAAUCGCAGAUCAGAAUGCUGCGGUGAAUGCGUUCCCGGGUCUUGUACACACCGCCCGUCACACCACGGGAGUUGGAGACGCCCGAAGCCGA